CCUACGGGAGGCAGCAGUGGGGAAUUUUGGACAAUGGGCGCAAGCCUGAUCCAGCAAUGCCGCGUGCAGGAUGAAGGCCUUCGGGUUGUAAACUGCUUUUGUACGGAACGAAACGGUUCGCUUUAAUACAGUGGGCUAAUGACGGUACCGUAAGAAUAAGCACCGGCUAACUACGUGCCAGCAGCCGCGGUAAUACGUAGGGUGCGAGCGUUAAUCGGAAUUACUGGGCGUAAAGCGUGCGCAGGCGGUGAUGUAAGACAGAUGUGAAAUCCCCGGGCUCAACCUGGGACCUGCAUUUGUGACUGCAUCGCUAGAGUACGGUAGAGGGGGAUGGAAUUCCGCGUGUAGCAGUGAAAUGCGUAGAUAUGCGGAGGAACACCGAUGGCGAAGGCAAUCCCCUGGACCUGUACUGACGCUCAUGCACGAAAGCGUGGGGAGCAAACAGGAUUAGAUACCCUGGUAGUCCACGCCCUAAACGAUGUCAACUGGUUGUUGGGUCUUCACUGACUCAGUAACGAAGCUAACGCGUGAAGUUGACCGCCUGGGGAGUACGGCCGCGAAGGUUGAAACUCAAAGGAAUUGACGGCUGAGACGNGCGAGGACGACGACGAGGGAGGAGG
rnacentral:rRNA from 1 species